UACAGAGGGUGCGAGCGUUGUUCGGAAUUAUUGGGCGUAAAGGGCGCGUAGGCGGUGCGGUAAGUCACCUGUGAAAUCUCCUGGCUCAACUGGGAGCUUGCAGGCGAAACUGCCGUGCUGGAGUGUGGGAGAGGUGCGUGGAAUUCCCGGUGUAGUGGUGAAAUGCGUAGAGUAUCGGGAGGAACACCUGUGGCGAAAGGC
rnacentral:rRNA from 1 species